rfam:Arabis alpina cultivar Pajares chromosome 8, whole genome shotgun sequence.
CAGUAUGAUGGAAAGUUGGAGAAGGUGCACCAGAUUGUCCAGAAUACGAAGCAGCAAAAGAUCUGCCUGACCCAUCUUGUA